GUAGGGACAUCAAGGUAGAUGAAGAAUCCUCAUGGAAUUGGGAGUCCAGCACCUUGCCACAAGUUCAAAGAAUAGUUUCACAGGAAGAUGAGACUAUUAUCAAUGAAGAAAAAGCAGAAUCUAAUGAAAUAGAAGCUGAUAAAUUGGGAGCUGAUAGGGGAUCAGAUUCAGAGAAUCCUAUGCUAAGAGCCUAACCUUUGGUUGAUGUGUAUGCAAGGUGCAAUUCAGCAAUUCUAGAGCCAUCAAAUGUUGCCGAAGCUAAAAGUUCACAAGACUGGUUGGUUGCAAUGAAGGAGAAGCUAAAAAUGAUUGAAAAUAAAUGGAAUUUGGGAGCUGGUUGAUAGGCCAAGGAAUAAAAAUGUUAUUGGAGUCAAAUGGGUGUUCAAAAGUAAGAUGAAUUUUGAUGGAUCGUUAAUAAGCUCAAAGCCAGAUCAGUUGUAAAGGGGUAUGCACAGCAAUAUGGAAUUGAUUACAUAGACAUAAUUGCACCUGUGGAAAGGUCUAAAAUUAUCAUAUUAUUACUGGCUAUUGCUGCUCAAAAAAUUAUCAAUGAGCAAACAUUGCAUAUAAAGAAGAUGGAGGAAGAGUUUAUCAUCAUUUCCUUAUAUGUUGAUGGCCUUUCCAUAAUCGGCAGCAGUAAGGAGUUAAUUAACAAUACAAAGGCUGAAAUGAUAAAGGCAUUUGAAAUGACUGAUUUAGGGAAGAUGAAAUAUUUCCUUGAAAUGGAAUUAAACUAGACACAUGAAGGCAGUUUUGUUUGUCAAAAGAGGUAUGCCAAUGAGAUAUUAAAGAAAUUCAGCAUAGAAAAGUGCAAGCUAGUAAAAACCCCAUUGGUUCAAAACUUGAAACUGGUGAAAGAUGAUGAUAGCAAGAAAAUUGAUGGGAAGAUGUAUAGAAAUUUGGUUGGAUGUCUAUUGUAUUUAACAAACACAAGGCCUGACAUCACUUAUGCUACAAAUCUAUUCUCUAGGUUUAGGCAAGAACCAAGUGAUUUACACUUCCAAGCUGCCAAGAAAGUCUUGAGAUACAUCAAAGAAAAUGCUGAAUUAGGAAUUUGGUUUAAAAGGUCAGAGACUUUGGAUUUAAUUGGAUACCCUGACAGCAAUUGAGUUGGAUCUCUUGAUGAUAUGAAGAGCACAUUUGGAUAUGCAUUUUAUUUGGGACCAAAC
rnacentral:lncRNA from 1 species